rnacentral:rRNA from 1 species
UUUAAGUGUUAAAUAUUAUUUACCUGGUUACUAUUAGUUAAGAUCUUAAAACCCAAAGAAUUUGGCGGUAUCUUAAUCCAUUCAGAGGAACCUACCCCGUUAUUGAUAGUACACGAUUAACUUUACUUAAUUUAUUUGUUUGUAUAUCUCCGUUAUCAGAGAAUCUUUUUAGAGUUAUAAUUUUCUUGAUUUAUAAUUAUAAAAUAUUUCAGGUCAAGGUGCAGCUUAUAAUUAAGAGGAGGUGGGUUACAAUAGAUUUUUGUUUAUAUGGAUUUAAUAAUGAAAUAUAUUAAUGAAGGUGGAUUUGAUGGUAAAUUAAUUUAUUAAUUAAUUGAUAUUGGUUCUAAGGUGUGU